GAUUGAACGCUGGCGGCAGGCUUAACACAUGCAAGUCGAACGGUAACAGGGAUUAGCUUGCUAAUUUGCUGACGAGUGGCGGACGGGUGAGUAAUGCUUGGGAAUCUGGCUUAUGGAGGGGGAUAACUACGGGAAACUGUAGCUAAUACCGCGUAAAAUCUUCGGAUUAAAGGGUGGGACUUUCGGGCCACCUGCCAUGAGAUGAGCCCAAGUGGGAUUAGGUAGUUGGUUAGGUAAAGGCUGACCAAGCCGACGAUCUCUAGCUGGUCUGAGAGGAUGACCAGCCACACUGGAACUGAGACACGGUCCAGACUCCUACGGGAGGCAGCAGUGGGGAAUAUUGCACAAUGGGGGGAACCCUGAUGCAGCCAUGCCGCGUGAAUGAAGAAGGCCUUCGGGUUGUAAAGUUCUUUCGGUGACGAGGAAGGUUGGUAUGUUAAUAGCAUAUCAAAUUGACGUUAAUCACAGAAGAAGCACCGGCUAACUCCGU
rnacentral:rRNA from 1 species